GACGAACGCUGGCGGCGUGCUUAACACAUGCAAGUCGAACGAAGAGCGAUGGAAGCUUGCUUCUAUCAAUCUUAGUGGCGAACGGGUGAGUAACGCGUAAUCAACCUGCCCUUCAGAGGGGGACAACAGUUGGAAACGACUGCUAAUACCGCAUACGAUCUAACCUCGGCAUCGAGGAUAGAUGAAAGGUGGCCUCUACAUGUAAGCUAUCACUGAAGGAGGGGAUUGCGUCUGAUUAGCUAGUUGGAGGGGUAACGGCCCACCAAGGCGAUGAUCAGUAGCCGGUCUGAGAGGAUGAACGGCCACAUUGGGACUGAGACACGGCCCAGACUCCUACGGGAGGCAGCAGUGGGGAAUCUUCCGCAAUGGACGAAAGUCUGACGGAGCAACGCCGCGUGAGUGAUGACGGCCUUCGGGUCGUAAAGCUCUGUUAAUCGGGACGAAAGGCCUUCUUGCGAAUAGUUAGAAGGAUUGACGGUACCGGAAUAGAAAGCCACGGCUAACUACGUG
rnacentral:rRNA from 1 species